rnacentral:rRNA from 1 species
UGGGGAAUUUUGGACAAUGGGCGCAAGCCUGAUCCAGCCAUUCCGCGUGAGUGAAGAAGGCCUUCGGGUUGUAAAGCUCUUUCGCAAGGGAAGAAAACUUACUUUCGAAUAAAGAGUGAGGUUGACGGUACCUUGAUAAGAAGCACCGGCUAACUACGUGCCAGCAGCCGCGGUAAUACGUAGGGUGCGAGCGUUAAUCGGAAUUACUGGGCGUAAAGCGUGCGCAGGCUGUUUUGUAAGUCAGAUGUGAAAUCCCUGGGCUCAACCUAGGAACUGCGUUUGAAACUACAAGGCUAGAGUGUAGCAGAGGGGGGUAGAAUUCCACGUGUAGCAGUGAAAUGCGUAGAGAUGUGGAGGAAUACCAAUGGCGAAGGCAGCCCCCUGGGUUAACACUGACGCUCAUGCACGAAAGCGUGGGGAGCAAACAG